UACGUAGGGUGCGAGCGUUAAUCGGAAUUACUGGGCGUAAAGUGUGCGCAGGCGGCAGAGCAAGUCGAGUGUGAAAGCCCCGGGCUUAACUUGGGAAUUGCGCUCGAAACUACUUUGCUGGAGUGUGGCAGAGGAAGGUGGAAUUCCACGUGUAGCGGUGAAAUGCGUAGAGAUGUGGAGGAACACCAAUGACGAAGGCAGCCUUCUGGGCCAACACUGACGCUCAUGCACGAAAGCGUGGGGAGCAAACAGG
rnacentral:rRNA from 1 species